rnacentral:rRNA from 1 species
GGGAACGGAUCACGCGUUGAACAACUUUCGAGAGGCCGCCGAAGUGAAGGACCGCGGAACGAGAACAUAGCGACUAAGAAGACCGACCCAACGAAUAGUGCGGACGGCGCGCUAACGGCGAAGCGAGAAGGUCUUGAGCAAAAUCAAGAUGAACGCGUUAAGACCUUUGCCCCGUAUUGAGCAAACACUAGUUCGAGUAGAAAGAACUUGGCUAAAGACCUUUCUGUCCUCUAGGUGCCCAUGAUGAACGGCCCGCAUUCAUGAUUACCCGGCGGUUCGAUCACGACGUGCUUUACUGGAGCUCGUAUACGAUAGAGUACUUUUGCUCGACGGUUUCCGGAACGGUAAUAGUGAAAACCUUCUGUAAUGCCUACCAAAGAGAUUCUUGGUAGUUUAACCGUCGCCACCCAAACGUCACCAGAUGUUCCCUUGCGAACUCUUACCCUGACAACGACACUUCUUCAACGAACUUUCAGAACUAUAAGGACUAUUAUUUAAGUUACUUCUUUAAGCAACAAACUACUCCCAUUUCGUGUUGUUGUAUCAGGCCAAGAACCCUAUAACACGAUUGUAUGUUCCGGUUUACCUUUUGAUGUUACCUCUAAAACAGUACCGUCUACAUGCAGUUUCCAACGAAACGAAACUCAUACAUGGAUUUCCUUCAGAAGUACUCAUAUAGUUUCUAUGUAGAAGAUCUGAACUGACCUAUUUCUCGAUAGCCUAUUAUUUCCCAUAAACACUUCCAAAUGUAAUGGAAGUGGUCUUAACGUAACAAGUGAAUCUAGAGUUCGGCCGUUUAUAAGACAACCUACUGUUGUACUGUGGUUUUUAACGACUAAAACCAGACAGUUCCACGAAGCUACUUUUCGUUUCGGUUCGAUAAUGGCUUUUAUACCGACCUUGUAACCCCAUAUACCGUGGUCUCAAAGUAUCUCCUCUGUUUACGUGCUAGUGUAUGUUGAGCCUGUAUAUAUCAGAACCACAGUAUUAAUAUCUCUACGACUGUCCUUUCUUCACCAUAGGUCCUAUAGGACUACAACUAUUACAUGAACUUUGAACCUCAUUAUUCAAUUCCUUUAGUGUCGCCCUGUGUGAAAACUUUGUCUAUGCCAAUACGUAACUGGAUCCCUAUUUUACGUGACUACCAUUGGUUCGCUUGUCUGGUUUAUGUAGUGUAUAUUAGUCAUCCGAACCACUUAGUCUUUUAUGUACGUAAUAUUGACAAAACUGAAGAAGUUGUCAUGGUGUCCAUCUUUCUUGAAACCUUUUAAACCUCGUAUGGUGGUUAUUGAACGAAGACUCCUCCUUGUUACAAGCAAUAUACUUACUAUAACGGCUCUUCUUACAAUGAUAACUCGUUCUCCGUCGAUUCCUUGAAGUUCUCCGGGUUCUUACAGAGCUACUAUUAGGAGUACAACAACUUCAGCUUAGAUAAGGUAGAUACAGACAACUGCUGGCAUUGGAAGUUCUCCGGGAGGCCGAGUAAUUCCUACUAGGUCACCCUCAUUAACCUUAUACCCCAGGUCCACCUCACCCCUUUUGUGCGGAAAACUUGUUUUAGUUCUUGAGUUAACUACUACUGUUCUGGAAAUUGAUACAACACGUUCACUGUCGAAGUUCCCCCACAAGUCACCUUUUCUAGGUUUGACUGUAACGUGCGGUAGAGUUAGACUUGUCUCUACCAUUACACCUUAGAGUUAGAGCACAGUAAAAACUGAAAGACUUCUUCUCUUCGAAAGAACAUAACAACCUACUAUAAACCCCAGUUUAACUAGAUGUUCGUCAGCCGUAUGGUAUAGGAGAACCUAUACGUUUGGUUUAAACCUCUUUCCACCACGAGUGUUGUUCUAGUUCUUCCCAAACACCAGUUUACCUCCACUCCUUUCUAAACUUACAUAGAACAGAUGUGCUCCUACUGAGUACCGUCCAUAAGGUCCUAUUCCAGCCGGUGUUUUGAGAAAAAAUAUCAGGAGCGUAACUUCGAGAACGUUCUCUUGAUCACUUUCUUUACUUUCCGAACGGUAAUCGAAACUAUUGAGAACCUUUCCGUUACAUACCAUUUUGACUAUGCCGACUCACCCUUAUACGAUAGGUUGUAUACUCUGCCAGUACAACACUAUUGCUACUGGGGGACCUAUACCUUUCUUAACAAAAAUCGGUCUAGUUCAAAUCAAAACUAUCAAACGCUUUGUUAUGAAACUCCUUUACAAAGAACUGAACACGUAACACCGGUCUCCUAGUUGUAUAGAUGUUUCAUCUCGAGCGAGCUACGACCUAACCGAACCCAGAUCACGUACUCAGUCUAUAUGUAUCAAGGAUGUGUUUUCGUAUAUCAGACUACCCACUGGAAAGUCGACGUACAAACAAUCUACCAACACCUCUUUACAUACUAAGAAAAUUUUACGUACUACACCAAGCACUGUACCGAAAUACCUAGAGAACACCUACGUUACUCUUUUUACCGUUCACCAAACAGGCACGCCCAUAACCGGCCGUGCUUUUAAAAUCGUAGGGAACCUCGGUCCAACUUAAACAGAGUAACUACACGUUGAUACAUAAUUUUGAAGGAGGACAACCGAGAUUAGGUACGGUGUACUCCUACAAUACGGAACCUUUAUUGACCAACGUACUUUCGUAUAAUUAACUUCUUUAGUUCUUUAAAUGAAGUGACUGUAUAGACCUAAACGCAAAGUUGUUAGAGCCUCUUUAUGGACUUCUUAAUACAAGGGACUGUUUGAACCUUGUGGAACUGAACAGCGUAUUAUAACUUUAUUUACUUCACGGAAUGAGGAAACCUUUGGAUUAAUUCGAGUUCAAGAACAUGGAUCCUACCUGAUCGUAUGUUUCCUAUGGCCUCCCCCAGUAUAGAUUCGAAGUUAGUAAUGUUCAUUAUCUGAAGUUGUGAAAAAUAGAUGCAGGUUAAGGCUUCCUGGAAGAAAGAUCUUACGAAGCUCUCAACCCGUGGGAUGGGGUGAACUUUCGUCAACCAUAGUGACGGUACACAAAAAGAGUCAUAUUUAAUAAUGCUCUCUCACUCCUGGAGGGGUAGUCCAGAAAUUGAGACGCCUCUGAGCUCUGUGCACGUAAGAUGAAGAGACUAUAAGAUAGUGUACUCAAACGUGGUUCCUGGAACAUACUUGACGAUUAAGUGUACACGUAGUACCUCCUUUAUUAUAAACCUGUGCCCAACCGUCUUGGUUUGACGCCAAAAGCAUGAGAGUUAGUCGAGUCGAAAAGUCUAAACAGCUUGAACUCUCUCUAUUGAACCUGCUUUUGUAGGGGUCGUAGAGAUAAAGGUUCCGAGCGAACAGACCUACACGUAAGGACGCCCUUUGAUUUGGUGGAGAGGACCCGCUACCUAGAUGGAACGGAGCUUGUUGAGCAUUAUAUACUAACAAGAAGCUACGCCGUUCGCAAAUACUCCGUGGUACCACUAUUGGUCACGUCACCUGUUCUGUCAAGUUUCUGUAAAGGAACGGAGUCUAUAGAUUUUAAAGACUCCACACUUAGUGACCAGCCAUAACCCCUAGGACUAUACUGUAAAGGUAGGGAUCUCGCUGACCACGAAGUAGUAACAGGCCUUAACUUAUCCGAAGGAAAGUUCUGCCUGUUGAAUGGUGCUUUUGACGUCCUUGAUGUCUAACUACAACCUAGGACCCUCUCUAACCUUAACCUUCUUCCACAGUCUAGAAAGGACGUCGGGUCCGAAUUUAAUCUUUUUCUCAUUUAUGGUACUCGAACAAAGUACGUACAAAUAUCAUAGGUACGAAGUCAAAUGUGGAACCGGACAUCGAAACUAACUAUCCUUAUACAUAUACAUUAUUAACUAUAUUAAGAAUCGGCUGAACACAUUUUGUCCGAUACUUGAUUUACGCACGCUAAACAAAAGAAUGAAAUGCUAAAAACCUUAAACGUUCACGAUGGAAAACUGCCCUUGUGUAGGAAGACCUAAUUCUUGACCGAACCCAUUUAUUAGGUCU